UACGGGGGGGGCAAACGUUGCCCGGAAUUAUUGGGCGUAAAGCGCGCGUAGGCGGUCCGGUAAGUCGGGUGUGAAAGCCCCAGGCUUAACCUGGGAAGUGCACUCGAAACUGUAGGGCUUGAGUAUGGAAGAGGGUCUCGGAAUUCCCGGUGUAGAGGUGAAAUUCGUAGAUAUCGGGAGGAACACCAGUGGCGAAGGCGGAGACCUGGGCCAAUACUGACGCUGAGGUGCGAAAGCGUGGGGAGCAAACAGG
rnacentral:rRNA from 1 species